CUUUUCGCCAGGGGUUGGGACUCCGGGUGGCAGGCGCCCGGGGGAAUCCCAGCUGACUCGCUCACUGCCUUCGAAGUCCGGCGCCCCCCGGGAGGGAACUGGGUGGCCGCACCCUCCCGGCUGCGGUGGCUGUCGCCCCCCACCCUGCAGCCAGGACUCGAUGGAGGUACAGAGCUCGGCUUCUUUGCCUUGGGAGGGGAGUGGUGGUGGUUGAAAGGGCGAUGGAAUUUUCCCCGAAAGCCUACGCCCAGGGCCCCUCCCAGCUCCAGCGUUACCCUCCGGUCUAUCCUACUGGCCGAGCUGCCCCGCCUUCUCAUGGGGAAAACUUAGCCGCAACUUCAAUUUUUGGUUUUUCCUUUAAUGACACUUCUGAGGCUCUCCUAGCCAUCCUCCCGCUUCCGGAGGAGCGCAGAUCGCAGGUCCCUUUGCCCCUGGCGUGCGACUCCCUACUGCGCUGCGCUCUUACGGCGUUCCAGGCUGCUGGCUAGCGCAAGGCGGGCCGGGCACCCCGCGCUCCGCUGGGAGGGUGAGGGACGCGCGUCUGGCGGCCCCAGCCAAGCUGCGGGUUUCUGAGAAGACGCUGUCCCGCAGCCCUGAGGGCUGAGUUCUGCACCCAGUCAAGCUCAGGAAGGCCAAGAAAAGAAUCCAUUCCAAUAUAUGGCCAUGUGGCUCUUUGGAGCAAUGUUCCAUCAUGUUCCAUGCUGCUGACGUCACAUGGAGCACAGAAAUCAAUGUUAGCAGAUAGCCAGCCCAUACAAGAUCGUAUUGUAUUGUAGGAGGCAUUGUGGAUGGAUGGCUGCUGGAAACCCCUUGCCAUAGCCAGCUCUUCUUCAAUACUUAAGGAUUUACCGUGGCUUUGAGUAAUGAGAAUUUCGAAACCACAUUUGAGAAGUAUUUCCAUCCAGUGCUACUUGUGUUUACUUCUAAACAGUCAUUUUCUAACUGAAGCUGGCAUUCAUGUCUUCAUUUUGGGCUGUUUCAGUGCAGGGCUUCCUAAAACAGAAGCCAACUGGGUGAAUGUAAUAAGUGAUUUGAAAAAAAUUGAAGAUCUUAUUCAAUCUAUGCAUAUUGAUGCUACUUUAUAUACGGAAAGUGAUGUUCACCCCAGUUGCAAAGUAACAGCAAUGAAGUGCUUUCUCUUGGAGUUACAAGUUAUUUCACUUGAGUCCGGAGAUGCAAGUAUUCAUGAUACAGUAGAAAAUCUGAUCAUCCUAGCAAACAACAGUUUGUCUUCUAAUGGGAAUGUAACAGAAUCUGGAUGCAAAGAAUGUGAGGAACUGGAGGAAAAAAAUAUUAAAGAAUUUUUGCAGAGUUUUGUACAUAUUGUCCAAAUGUUCAUCAACACUUCUUGAUUGCAAUUGAUUCUUUUUAAAGUGUUUCUGUUAUUAACAAACAUCACUCUGCUGCUUAGACAUAACAAAACACUCGGCAUUUCAAAUGUGCUGUCAAAACAAGUUUUUCUGUCAAGAAGAUGAUCAGACCUUGGAUCAGAUGAACUCUUAGAAAUGAAGGCAGAAAAAUGUCAUUGAGUAAUAUAGUGACUAUGAACUUCUCUCAGACUUACUUUACUCAUUUUUUUAAUUUAUUAUUGAAAUUGUACAUAUUUGUGGAAUAAUGUAAAAUGUUGAAUAAAAAUAUGUACAAGUGUUGUUUUUUAAGUUGCACUGAUAUUUUACCUCUUAUUGCAAAAUAGCAUUUGUUUAAGGGUGAUAGUCAAAUUAUGUAUUGGUGGGGCUGGGUACCAAUGCUGCAGGUCAACAGCUAUGCUGGUAGGCUCCUGCCAGUGUGGAACCACUGACUACUGGCUCUCAUUGACUUCCUUACUAAGCAUAGCAAACAGAGGAAGAAUUUGUUAUCAGUAAGAAAAAGAAGAACUAUAUGUGAAUCCUCUUCUUUAUACUGUAAUUUAGUUAUUGAUGUAUAAAGCAACUGUUAUGAAAUAAAGAAAUUGCAAUAACUGGCAUAUAAUGUCCAUCAGUAAAUCUUGGUGGUGGUGGCAAUAAUAAACUUCUACUGAUAGGUAGAAUGGUGUGCAAGCUUGUCCAAUCACGGAUUGCAGGCCACAUGCGGCCCAGGACAACUUUGAAUGUGGCCCAACACAAAUUCAUAAACUUUCAUACAUCUCGUUUUUAGCUCAUCAGCUAUCAUUAGCGGUAGUGUAUUUAAAGUGUGGCCCAAGACAAUUCUUCUUAUUCCAAUGUGGCCCAGGGAAAUCAAAAGAUUGGAUGCCCCUGGUAUAGAAAACUAAUAGUGACAGUGUUCAUAUUUCAUGCUUUCCCAAAUACAGGUAUUUUAUUUUCACAUUCUUUUUGCCAUGUUUAUAUAAUAAUAAAGAAAAACCCUGUUGAUUUGUUGGAGCCAUUGUUAUCUGACAGAAAAUAAUUGUUUAUAUUUUUUGCACUACACUGUCUAAAAUUAGCAAGCUCUCUUCUAAUGGAACUGUAAGAAAGAUGAAAUAUUUUUGUUUUAUUAUAAAUUUAUUUCACCUUAA